GCACAGAAGUAACAUCUUUCGGCAGCGCCAUUUCGGUGACGCGCUAUACAUAUCCGCGCGCUAUCUGCUCUGAUCGUUUGAUGAUGCCGGUGUACCCGAGCGAUGCUGACUUGAGUGAUUGUGUGAUUAACGCGGAUUCAGCGCGAUCCAGACCAUCCACCAAGCCCAAGGAACUUGACAGGAGAAUUGAUUUUACGUUACGCACAUCUGACAGAAUCAGAGUUUGAUAACAUAGUCGCAGAAUGGUUACGAUUCGCCAAACAGAGGAAAGAAAGAGAUGGAAAAAACAAAGAAAAAGAGAUUCAGCAAAAUAGAGGCGAUGAAGAACAGCGUUUAGUAUAACAUACUAAUCCCAGUUAAUAUUAAGCUUUUAUUAAUAUGUAAAGUGUGUGCAAUUUAUAAUUCUUAUAAAUACUUUACAAUGUUUUUUAA